rnacentral:lncRNA from 1 species
UCAAUUAGUUCAAUCAAUUUCUCUUCUACUAAGGUUUUUUUCGAAAAAUACCCCGCCCGCUCCAACCCAUCCCAGAAGCCCAUAUUUCAGUUCUCCAUCCAUUAAGCUUAAGCUAUCCUCUUUUAAUGUUUUUCCCCAAAAAUCACCCUAUCUCCAAUCCACAAGCCUGGAUUCCAUUUCAAUUUCCCCUUCAUUAUGUUGUCCUCUUUUUUGUAUUUUCCCAGUGAACCAUGCAAGAUUCGUUGAUAUUUGAAAGCGAAAUAGUGGUGCAAUAUGUGUGUGGUGCAUUAUUGUUGUGUGUUCGACGGUGUGUGGUACUGUGCCGGUGGUGGUGAUCCGGUGGAUAUUUUCAGCGGAAAUCUAUUGCACGUGGGGGAUAAAGUCGUCGGUGACGGAAAGGCGGUGUAAGGAGAGCAACUGCAGUAGCUCUGCUACAUAUAUAUAUCCUUAUUUAUGAAAGUAUUUUGUGAGAUUGUUAGUUGUGAAAUGUGAUUCCUAUGAUCUAGUAAUUAUGUGUUAUUCCCAAGAUCUUAUGUUUAAUUCCACAAUUUUUUCCAUGGAAAAAGAGAUUUCAUUUUCCAACUUUUAGUGUUUAUUUGAUUGUCCAAAAUUUUUUCUAGAAUUGAAAUUCUCACGUUCUUG